CAGUCGCCACGGUAACACGUAGGGUGCGAGCGUUAAUCGGAAUUACUGGGCGUAAAGCGUGCGCAGGCGGUUGUGUAAGACAGGUGUGAAAUCCCCGGGCUUAACCUGGGAACUGCGCUUGUGACUGCACAGCUAGAGUAUGGCAGAGGGGGGUGGAAUUCCACGUGUAGCAGUGAAAUGCGUAGAGAUGUGGAGGAACACCGAUGGCGUAGGCAGCCCCCUGGGCCAAUACUGACGCUCAUGCACGAAAGCUAGGGGAGCAAAUGGGAUUAGAUACCCCAGUAGUCCCUGUCUCUUAUAC
rnacentral:rRNA from 1 species